rnacentral:rRNA from 1 species
UGAGUAGGCGGUUUCAUAAGUCAUAUGUGAAAGCCUGGUGCUUAACAUCAGGAUUGCAUAAGAAACUAUGAGACUAGAGUAUGGGAGAGGUAAGCGGAAUUCCUAGUGUAGCGGUGAAAUGCGUAGAUAUUAGGAAGAACACCGGUGGCGAAGGCGGCUUACUGGACCAAGACUGACGCUGAGGCACGAAAGCGUGGGGAGCGAACAGGAUUAGAUACCCUGGUAGUCCACGCCGUAAACGAUGAUUGCUAGGUGUCGGGGCGAGAGCCUCGGUGCCGCAGCUAACGCAAUAAGCAAUCCGCCUGGGGAGUACGUUCGCAAGAAUGAA